UCUAAAACCAUAGCGCGGCCGGGCAUUAAAACGAAAACAAGUAUUUACCUUUGUUUAAGAAGUAUAUUUACCGGUAAACACAUACACAUAUUAUACAAACAGAAACAUAAUCCACAAAUAAUCUAUUCCAAAUCGAAUUUGCAUUAUAGUAAUCCAAAAUAAUAAUAUACCCAGUUAUAAAAAUAUUCGGCGAGUAGGUACCUAUAUAAAUACUCGUGUUAAAUCAAAUAUAGCAUUUAGGUCUGCACAUUAUGUGAUUGUAUCGUAUUUCUUUGAUUUUGAAUUCCCGUCGUUUUUUAUACAUUGAAAUAAUCGAAAUGGAGACAUGAUUUCCAUAAGCGUUCCGGUUGUCAGUUACGCAUUCGGUUUUAAGUGCAGACUCUUUUCUAAUGCAGUAUAAUUGAUUUUUGUAUAAUGCAGUUUCUACCUGAAUGUUGAUCGAAAUCUAUAUGUACGUCUACUGCGCGGCGUAUAUUCGGGCGUGGACAGCGAAAUUGCGCAUUAAUAUUUGUUUUACAGAAACCUUUUCAAUAUAAUAUACUCGCACAUACAUAAGCGUGCGCACGGGGAAAGCAGGAAAGGCGACUGUCUCCCCUGCGAGAUUUCUCGUCAAAAUCUUUUCAAAACCACGUUGGCUGUACAUUUUUUCCUUUUGUCUGUACACGAAAUCCUAACGUAACGCCCAUAAUUUUGCGCAUUGCCACAAACCGGGGAGCGGUCUUUCUUAACUCGAUCAAACUCCUAAAUAACGCGCUCAUCGAGCUAAACACCGAGUGCACACGGAAUCAGACAAUACAAUAAUCAAUAUAACCGUAACUCGAGCCCAUACGAAAAUAUUUGGGCUAUUCGUGCCUAUGAUAACGCCGUCUCGCCUGCCAAGGGGACUGGCGCACGCUUAUGGAGACCUAUAUAAACCGCGGUGCCCGAACGUGUUGUACCCGUGAUCGUUUGGCUGCGCAGUGCGAUUUUACCGCGUCAACGUUCGGCCGACGGUUUUUUCAAAAGCCAAUCGGGCGGGAAGGGCUAUAAGCCCUAAACCCCCGGGACCUUUGCAGGGCGCCACGCGGUUCCGGACGGACCUCGCGCGGUACGUGUCCCGCGGUCCGCCGACGAACGCGGACUACCAGCACGGAGCCGCCACCGACGGCGGUUCGAGGAGUAGGCGAACAGGCGAUACCGACGUCGAAAUGCACACACGAACACCGGUUUGGCGGCGGCGGUGUUCGUAGGUCG